rnacentral:rRNA from 1 species
AUAUUUGACAAUGGGCGAAAGCCUGAUCCAGCCAAGCCGCGUGUGUGAAGAAGGUCUUCGGAUUGUAAAGCACUUUAUGUUGGGAGGAAGGGCAGGAAGUUAUUACCUUGCUGGUUUGACGGUACCGACAGAAUAAGCACCGGCCAACUUACGGCCAGCAGCGGCGGUAAUACGAAGGGUGCAAGCGUUAAUAGGAAUUAAUGGGCGGAAAGCGCGCGUAGGUGGUUUGUUAAGUUGGAAGUGAAAGCCGCGGGCGCAACCUGGGAACUGCUUUCAAGGCUGGCAGGCUAGAGUAUGGCAGAGGGUGGUGGAAUUUCCUGUGUAGCGGUGAAAUGCGUAGAUAUAGGAAGGAACACCAGUGGCGAAGGCGACCACCUGGGCUAAUACUGACACUGAGGUGCGAAAGCGUGGGGAGCAAAC